UACGUAGGGUGCAAGCGUUGUCCGGAAUUAUUGGGCGUAAAGAGCUCGUAGGCGGCUUGUCGCGUCGGCUGUGAAAACCUGGGGCUCAACCCCCGGGCCUGCAGCCGAUACGGGCAGCUAGAAUUCGGUAGGGGAGACUGGAAUUCCUGGUGUAGCGGUGAAAUGCGCAGAUAUCAGGAGGAACACCGGUGGCGAAGGCGGGUCUCUGGGGCCGAAAAUUGACGCUGAGGAGCGAAAAGCGUGGGGGAGCAAAACAGG
rnacentral:rRNA from 1 species